GGCUGGUUAGCUCAGUCAGUUGAGCGUGGCACUAACAAUGCCAAGGUUGUGGGUUCGAUUCCCGUUCAGUCC
rnacentral:tRNA from 1 species